rnacentral:lncRNA from 1 species
CACUACUAGAAAAUAAUUCAAUUAAGACGGAAUUUUGUGACGGAAAUUUUUUCCGUCCCAAAAUAAUUAAAUCGGGACGAAAUUUGCGACGAUUUUCUGUCACGAGUAUUUUUUUAAAAACUUUUUAAUAGUUCGGGACGGAAUUUAUAUUCUGUCUCCAAUUCGAGACGGAUUGACAUUUCUGUCACAAAGUUGGGACGUAUGGUUUUAUUUCCGUCUCAUAUUUAAGACAAUUUUUAUUUUAUUUCAAAAUUUAGUGAAAAAAAUAAGGGGGAAUAUUGGCGCCUAAUUAUUAGAUUCUUUUAAAAAAUAAAAUAAAAAUAAUAGUUUCCNN